rnacentral:lncRNA from 1 species
UGGAGAAGUUUUGCUCAAUAAAAUAUUUUAUGUUCUGGACAGAAAAGUCACUUUGUGAAGGAAGUGCACUUUUGCUUGAUCCAUUUAAGCUAAAAACAAUUUAGCAUGUCUACCUUCCAACCCCAACCUUGGCCUCCAAGUUUAAGCUCCUAGCUCUCUCUAGAUUUUUCUCUCUAAGCUGCUAUAGUUUCUAUCUAGAAACUUGCGAGCCAUCUCAUUUCAUGUCCAACCAGUCUGGG